AUCUCUCAUCUCGACCUCCACAAGCUUUCAAACAACUUUGCCAACAUGUCAGGGUACGAUGAUGUUCCAAAGCUCUUGGCGUCGAUAUAUUUGCUCAAGGAUGUCUUUGACGAGUACGCUGGAAAAGGUGGAAACCCACAGACUUUGACCAAGAGAGAACUCUCUAAGAUGCUCCGCAAAGAGCUUCGUUUGAAUGUCUCAGACUGCCCUGAGGCAGAAGAAUACUUCAACCGACUGGAUGCCAGCGGUGAUGGUACUGUUGAUUUCGAGGAAUAUGUCACUCUGGUGGGAGGACUUGCUUUGAUCUUAAACGAGAUGUACAAUCGAAAGUAAUCCAUGUAACACUACAGUCACAUGUAUAAAAUAUGUUUCAUCAUCAUAUGCUCUGACAAGGAAAACAUGCUUAAUAAACACACACAGAUGAAGAGAUGUCAGAAGUGAUUAACAAAGAAGCAAAAAUAAAUGUUGCCUCCUUU